AUUGAACGCUGGCGGCAUGCCUUACACAUGCAAGUCGAACGGUAACAGGUCUUCGGAUGCUGACGAGUGGCGAACGGGUGAGUAAUACAUCGGAACGUGCCUAGUAGUGGGGGAUAACUACUCGAAAGAGUGGCUAAUACCGCAUGAGAUCUACGGAUGAAAGCAGGGGAUCGCAAGACCUUGUGCUACUAGAGCGGCCGAUGGCAGAUUAGGUAGUUGGUGGGAUAAAAGCUUACCAAGCCGACGAUCUGUAGCUGGUCUGAGAGGACGAACAGACAAACUGGGACUGCGACACGGCCCAGACUCCUACGGGAGGCAGCAGUGGGGAAUUUUGGACAAUAGGCGCAAGCCUGAUCCAGCAAUGCCGCGUGCAGGAUGAAGGCCUUCGGGUUGUAAACUGCUUUUGUACGGAACGAAAAGCCCUGGGUUAAUACCCUGGGGUCAUGACGGUACCGUAAGAAUAAGCACCGGCUAACUACGUGCCAGCAGCCGCAGUAAUAC
rnacentral:rRNA from 1 species